rnacentral:rRNA from 1 species
CCUACGGGAGGCAGCAGUAGGGAAUUUUCCACAAUGGGCGAAAGCCUGAUGGAGCAACGCCGCGUGCAGGAUGAAUGCCUUCGGGUUGUAAACUGCUUUUAUAUGUGACGAUUAUGACGGUAGCAUAUGAAUAAGGAUCGGCUAACUCCGUGCCAGCAGCCGCGGUAAU